rnacentral:rRNA from 1 species
AGAGUUUGAUCAUGGCUCAGGAUGAACGCUGGCGGCGUGCUUAACACAUGCAAGUCGAGCGGAGAGUAUAGGAAGCUUGCUUUUUGUACUCUUAGCGGCGGACGGGUGAGUAACGUGUGGGCAACCUGCCUUAUACUGUGGAAUAAUCACUUGAAAAGGUGACUAAUACCGCAUGUGGUCAUUGGGAGGCAUCUUCUGAUGAAGAAAGGAUUUAUUCGGUAUAAGAUGGGCCCGCAUCUGAUUAGCUAGUUGGUGAGAUAACAGCCCACCAAGGCGACGAUCAGUAGCCGACCUGAGAGGGUGAUCGGCCACAUUGGGACUGAGACACGGCCCAAACUCCUACGGGAGGCAGCAGUGAGGAAUAUUGCACAAUGGGGGAAACCCUGAUGCAGCAACGCCGCGUGAAGGAAGACGGUUUUCGGAUUGUAAACUUCUAUCGAUGGGGAAGAAAGAAAUGACGGUACCCAAAUAAGAAGCCCCGGCUAACUACGUGCCAGCAGCCGCGGUAAUACGUAGGGGGCAAGCGUUAUCCGGAAUUACUGGGUGUAAAGGGAGCGUAGGCGGUAUGGUAAGUAAGAUGUGAAAGCCUCGGGCUUAACCUGAGGAUUGCAUUUUAAACUAUCAAACUAGAGUACAGGAGAGGAAAGCGGAAUUCCUAGUGUAGCGGUGAAAUGCGUAGAUAUUAGGAAGAACACCGGUGGCGAAGGCGGCUUUCUGGACUGUAACUGACGCUGAGGCUCGAAAGCGUGGGGAGCGAACAGGAUUAGAUACCCUGGUAGU